rnacentral:rRNA from 1 species
AUUGAACGCUGGCGGCAUGCCUUACACAUGCAAGUCGAACGGCAGCACGGAGCUUGCUCUGGUGGCGAGUGGCGAACGGGUGAGUAAUAUAUCGGAACGUACCCUAGAGUGGGGGAUAACGUAGCGAAAGUUACGCUAAUACCGCAUACGAUCUAAGGAUGAAAGUGGGGGAUCGCAAGACCUCAUGCUCGUGGAGCGGCCGAUAUCUGAUUAGCUAGUUGGUAGGGUAAAAGCCUACCAAGGCAUCGAUCAGUAGCUGGUCUGAGAGGACGACCAGCCACACUGGAACUGAGACACGGUCCAGACUCCUACGGGAGGCAGCAGUGGGGAAUUUUGGACAAUGGGCGAAAGCCUGAUCCGGCAAUGCCGCGUGAGUGAAGAAGGCCUUUGGGUUGUAAAGCUCUUUUGUCAGGGAAGAAACGGUGAAAGCUAAUAUCUUUUGCUAAUGACGGUACCUGAAGAAUAAGCACCGGCUAACUACGUGCCAGCAGCCGCGGUAAUACGUAGGGUGCAAGCGUUAAUCGGAAUUACUGGGCGUAAAGCGUGCGCGGGCGGUUUUGUAAGUCUGAUGUGGAAUCCCCGGGCUCAACCUGGGAAUUGCAUUGGAGACUGCAAGGCUAGAAUCUGGCAGAGGGGGGUAGAAUUCCACGUGUAGCAGUGAAAUGCGUAGAUAUGUGGAGGAACACCGAUGGCGAAGGCAGCCCCCUGGGUCAAGAUUGACGCUCAUGCACGAAAGCGUGGGGAGCAAACAGGAUUAGAUACCCUGGUAGUCCACGCCCUAAACGAUGUCUACUAGUUGUCGGGUCUUAAUUGACUUGGUAACGCAGCUAACGCGUGAAGUAGACCGCCUGGGGAGUACGGUCGCAAGAUUAAAACUCAAAGGAAUUGACGGGGACCCGCACAAGCGGUGGAUGAUGUGGAUUAAUUCGAUGCAACGCGAAAAACCUUACCUACCCUUGACAUGGCUGGAAUCCUUGAGAGAUCAGGGAGUGCUCGAAAGAGAACCAGUACACAGGUGCUGCAUGGCUGUCGUCAGCUCGUGUCGUGAGAUGUUGGGUUAAGUCCCGCAACGAGCGCAACCCUUGUCAUUAGUUGCUACGAAAGGGCACUCUAAUGAGACUGCCGGUGACAAACCGGAGGAAGGUGGGGAUGACGUCAAGUCCUCAUGGCCCUUAUGGGUAGGGCUUCACACGUCAUACAAUGGUACAUACAGAGCGCCGCCAACCCGCGAGGGGGAGCUAAUCGCAGAAAGUGUAUCGUAGUCCGGAUUGUAGUCUGCAACUCGACUGCAUGAAGUUGGAAUCGCUAGUAAUCGCGGAUCAGCAUGUCGCGGUGAAUACGUUCCCGGGUCU